rnacentral:rRNA from 1 species
UUGGACUUUGUUUGCGCAGUAUAGGUGGGAGGCGUUGAGAAUAUUCUUGCGGGAAUAUUGGAGCCAUCAGUGAGAUACCACUCCUAUAAUGUUAGAUUUCUAACUUUGUAUCAUAAUCUGGUCAAAGAACAGUUUCAGGCGGGCAGUUUGACUGGGGCGGUCGCCUCCCAAAUGGUAACGGAGGCGUACAAAGGUUUCCUCUGAACGGGUAGAAAUCGUAUCUAGAGUAUAAAGGCAUAAGGAAGCUUGACUGUGAGACCUACAAGUCGAGCAGGGACGAAAGUCGGUCUUAGUGAUCUGACGGUGCUGAGUGGAAAGGCCGUCACUCAACGGAUAAAAGUUACUCUAGGGAUAACA